AGUAUCGUGAGAGACGCCUUCGCAGACACACAUCGAAUCGCGGACGGAGGUGGCGCGCGAAUCACUGCAAAGUAAUUGAAACAAGAUCGCGAUGAAUGAACGACCUUUUACGGUACAGUUUCCAAAAAAGCCCGAAAUCGGGGAUGAGAUCAUCGUUAAGGGCAAGCUCAAACCUAACGCAAAAGUAUUCUCUGUGAACUUCAUUCUCCCGCUGUCGCCCCCAUUACGGAAGUCUACGUCUGUUCUGGAUUCCUUCGUUACUAGCAGUAGUAGUAGUAGCACUUGCUGCAGCAACGGCGUGGGCACGGAAAACCAAUCUUCACCCUACAUUGCUUAUCAUUUCAAAACCAUCUUCAAAGAAGACGGUUCAAGCGUGGUGGUGCAAAACUGGAAAAACCUCGUCUGGCAGCAGGAAGUUAUAGGUCCCAAUCUGUGGCUGAAGGAUCGAAACCGACCAUUUGGAUUAAUUUUCCGAUUCCAUCACGACACGAUACGGGUGUUCGCUGAGCACACGCACCACGCACCGGAAUACGAAUUCGAGUAUCAAGUACCCCUCGAGAGCAUACGAACCGUACAGUUGUGGGACGACGUCGAGUUCGUGGAAGAAGUGACGUUUCGAUUCCGGAAUGUUAGGCAACCGUGAAGCGUGGGAGUUCGAUUAAAAACUAAGUUUACUUUCUACGUACAUACUGUCACGAUGCAUCAAUAAACGCCAACGAGACUCGCGCCGGCAAGAUGCUAAUUGUUGAUCUCGCUUCGCUAAUUGUAAACAUAAACAUGCACCACCAGCUCACCUAAGCGGCUAUAAAUUCCCGCCAUCCGGUUUCAGCAGCUCAGUUUUUUAGGAAAUUUUCCCAGCACGGUUAGUGUUUGUAGCGAAUCACGACUCGCACGGAAGUCGCGACCUACCCCAGUCAGUAACGAGUAUUAACGUUCUAAGUUUCACCUAAGGAAAAGUACUAUAUCCAAUAAAGAUGCUAUCGUUUCUUCGUUUCUGAUUCCGAAUGACCGGUUCAGAGCGGAUAGGCAGCGUUUCGGGAUCCUUACGUGGCUUGAGAUGAACUAACGACCGACGGUAGUCCACACCAUCUACAUUUACAACAUAUGACCAAUCGUUCAGAUGACUGGUAACAAAGCCUGGUGUCCAAAGCUUUGUUGUAUCGGGUCUUAAUUGGACAUGGACUGGCGACCAAACCCGCAACUCCGUCGGUACGUCUUUAACUACCAUUGGACGUAGACGAUCAACUGUUGACGGUACACCACACCGAGUGGAACGUGCGAAAAAUCGUGCGACGGGACUAGACCCUACCUUGUUUGGAAUAUUGCGCCAAUGCAACAAAGCGUACAAAAAAUCAGUUCCACUUUCUUGGGCCUUCUUCAACAAUUGUUUGGCCACUUUCACAGCAGCCUCCGCUUUACCGUUAGCCCGCUGAUUAUACGGUGCGGACGUAACAAGCUCAAAGUCCCAUUCAGAGGCGAACUUUGUCAUCUUAUGGUUAACAAAAUUAGUUCCGUUAUCACAGACGACACGUUGCGGGACCCCAUGGCGGGCAAAAUUCUGCUUGCUCGCGAUUAUCACGGACUCUGGCGUAAGAUCCUUCAAGAUGUCCAAUUCGAAGAAAUCGGAGUAGUGAUCAACAGUUAUCAAAAAAUUGCGCUUGAUUCCUCGGUACUCUGCAAAGAAUACAUCCAUCGAUGCAAGCUGAAAUGGAUAAAGCGGAAUUUCAUGACUUUGCAUAGGAGGAUGUGAUUGUGAAGCGGCGAAUUUUGCACAAAUGGGACAUUGUUUUAUGACUUCCUUGAUCUGCGAACUCAUGCCGGGCCAGAACAAAUUUGCUCGUGCCAACUUUAAAGUGGCCUCCAUCCCGUUGUGACUUAAGUGACAGCUAUCGAUAAGAUUCCUUCGAAGAACAUGUGGCACUAAUAUACGAUCAUUGCGAAAGAUAAGGCCGUCUUGCGUGGCAAGUUCGUUACGAUAACUGUAAUAAAUUGUAGCACUAUCAGGUACACGAUCGACGGAAUCCGGCCAACCGUUACGAAUAUAACU